rnacentral:rRNA from 1 species
AUUGAACGCUGGCGGCAGGCUUAACACAUGCAAGUCGAGCGGGGGAAGGUAGCUUGCUACUGGACCUAGCGGCGGACGGGUGAGUAAUGCUUAGGAAUCUGCCUAUUAGUGGGGGACAACAUCUCGAAAGGGAUGCUAAUACCGCAUACGUCCUACGGGAGAAAGCAGGGGAUCUUCGGACCUUGCGCUAAUAGAUGAGCCUAAGUCGGAAUAGCUAGUUGGUGGGGUAAAGGCCUACCAAGGCGACGAUCUGUAGCGGGUCUGAGAGGAUGAUCCGCCACAAUGGGACUGAGACACGGCCCAGACUCCUACGGGAGGCAGCAGUGGGGAAUAUUGGACAAUGGGGGGAACCCUGAUCCAGCCAUGCCGCGUGUGUGAAGAAGGCCUUAUGGUUGUAAAGCACUUUAAGCGAGGAGGAGGCUACUUUAGUUAAUACCUAGAGAUAGUGGACGUUACUCGCAGAAUAAGCACCGGCUAACUCUGUGCCAGCCGCCGCAGUAA